rnacentral:rRNA from 1 species
GACGAACGCUGGCGGCGUGCUUAACACAUGCAAGUCGAACGGAAAGGCCCCUUUGGGGGUACUCGAGUGGCGAACGGGUGAGUAACACGUGAGUAACCUGCCCUUGACUUCGGGAUAACUUCAGGAAACUGGGGCUAAUACCGGAUAGGAAUCCUUGCUGCAUGGUGGGGGUUGGAAAGCUUCGGCGGUUUUGGAUGGACUCGCGGCUUAUCAGCUUGUUGGUGGGGUAGUGGCUUACCAAGGCUUUGACGGGUAGCCGGCCUGAGAGGGCGACCGGCCACUGUGGACCUUAGACACGCCCCAGCCUCCCACGGGAGGCGGCAGGGGGCAUUUUUGAACAAGGGCCGCACGCCGAAUCCAGCACCCCCGCGGGCGGGAUGACGCCCUUCGGUUUGAAACCCGUGUACGGCGGGGCCGAUGCUUGUGUUGACGGUCCCUAAAAGAAAAACCCGGCCAACCUCCGUC